rnacentral:rRNA from 1 species
AGUUCGGAUUGUAGUCUGCAACCCGACUACAUGAAGCCGGAAUCGCUAGUAAUCGCGGAUCAGAAUGCCGCGGUGAAUACGUUCCCGGGUCUUGUACACACCGCCCGUCACACCAUGGGAGUUGGAAAUGCCCGAAGUCAGUGGCCCAACCGGAAGGGGGGAGCUGCCGAAGGCAGGUUCGAUGACUGGGGUGAAGUCGUAACAAGGUACC